rnacentral:rRNA from 1 species
CCCUGGGGCAACUGGGUGGGGGGAAGUGGCGAAAGGGGCAGUAAGGCGUGGAUAACUUGCCCCGGGGACCGGGAUAGCCUUCCUAACGGAAGGGUAAUACCGGGCGCCGUGCCGGGGGGGCAUCCCCCCGUCACGAAAUGAGGUUCGCCCCGGGAGAGGUUCACGUGAUAUUAGCUUGUUGGUGGGGUAACGGCCCACCAAGGCCAAGAUGUCUAGCGGGUGUGAGAGCACGACCCGCGCCACUGGCACUGUGACACUGGCCAG